rnacentral:rRNA from 1 species
GAAUUCACUAGUGCAUUUUCCGGUUGAUCCUGCCGGAGGUCACUGCUAUCGGGGUUCGAUUAAGCCAUGCGAGUUGAGAGGGUUAAGACCCUCGGCGGACUGCUCAGUAACACGUGGAUAACCCGCCCUAAGGUGGAGGAUAACCCCGGGAAACUGGGGAUAAUACUCCAUAGGUUAAAGGUACUGGAAUGUUCUUUAACCGAAAGUUCCGGCGCCUUAGGAUGGAUCUCCGGCCGAUUAGGUUGUUGUUGGGGUAGUGGCCCAACAAGCCUGUAAUCGGUACGGGUUGUGGGAGCAAGAGCCCGGAGAUGGAAUCUGAGACACGAUUCCAGGCCCUACGGGGCGCAGCAGGCGCGAAAACUUUACAAUGCAGGAAACUGUGAUAAGGGAACCCCGAGUGCCCGUAUAUGCGGGCUGUCCGGAUGUUUAAAACGCAUCCGAAGAAAGGGCCGGGCAAGACCGGUGCCAGCCGCCGCGGUAAUACCGGCGGCUCGAGUGGUGGCCACUUUUAUUGGGCUUAAAGCGUUCGUAGCUUGAAUAAUAAGUCUCUUGGGAAAUCUGCAGGCUUAACCUGCAGGCGUUUAAGAGAAACUGUUGUUCUAGGACACGGAAGAGGUGAGAGGUACUCCGGGGU